rnacentral:rRNA from 1 species
UACGUAGGUGGCAAGCGUUGUCCGGAUUUACUGGGUGUAAAGGGCGUGCAGCCGGGCUUGCAAGUCAGAUGUGAAAUGCACGGGCUUAACCCGUGAGCUGCAUUCGAAACUGUAGGUCUUGAGUACCGGAGGGGCAAUCGGAAUUCCUAGUGUAGCGGUGAAAUGCGUAGAUAUUAGGAGGAACACCAGUGGCGAAGGCGGAUUGCUGGACGGCAACUGACGGUGAGGCGCGAAAGUGUGGGGAGCAAAC